UUACGGAAGGCAGCAGUGGGGAAUUUUGCGCAAUGGGGGAAACCCUGACGCAGCGACGCCGCGUGGAGGAUGAAGGUCUUCGGAUUGUAAACUCCUUUUGUCGGGGAAGAUAAUGACGGUACCCGAUGAAUAAGCCACGGCUAACUCUGUGCCAGCAGCCGCGGUAAGACAGAGGUGGCAAGCGUUGUUCGGAAUUACUGGGCUUAAAGGGCGCGUAGGCGGUGGAGUAAGUCUGAGGUGGAAGAUCAGGGCCUAACCCUGAAAUUGCCUUGGAAACUGCAUCACUUGAGUCAGCGAGGGGAUGGCGGAAUUCCAGGUGUAGCGGUGAAAUGCGUAGAUAUCUGGAGGAAGGCCGGUGGCGAAGGCGGCCAUCUGGCGCUGAACUGACGCUGAGGCGCGAAAGCGUGGGGAGCAAACAGGAUUAGAUACCCUAGUAGUCC
rnacentral:rRNA from 1 species